CCUACGGGAGGCAGCAGUGGGGAAUAUUGGGCAAUGGGCGCAAGCCUGACCCAGCAACGCCGCGUGAAGGAUGAAGGUUUUCGGAUUGUAAACUUCUGUCGCGAGGGACGAAGAAUGACGGUACCUCGUAAGAAAGCCCCGGCUAACUACGUGCCAGCAGCCGCGGUAAUACGUAGGGGGCAAGCGUUAUCCGGAUUUACUGGGUGUAAAGGGGGCGCAGACGGCGAUGCAAGCCAGGAGUGAAAGCCCGGGGCCCAACCCCGGGACUGCUCUUGGAACUGCGUGGCUGGAGUGCAGGAGGGGCAGGCGGAAUUCCUGGUGUAGCGGUGAAAUGCGUAGAUAUCAGGAGGAACACCGGUGGCGAAGGCGGCCUGCUGGACUGCAACUGACGUUGAGGCCCGAAAGCGUGGGGAGCAAACAGGAUUAGAUACCCCUGUAGUC
rnacentral:rRNA from 1 species